ensembl:lncRNA novel transcript
GGCCAGCACCCAAUAAGCAAAUAAUGGGAAAUUGAUUAUUGAUUAUUUCCUCAUUCCCAAGUGAAAAGGAGAAAGGUAUCUCUAUUGGAGAUGAACGCAUGUUCAAUACACGUGGCCUGCCUGAGUCAUUAGCAAAGUGUCCAACAACUCUGAGGUACUGAAAAAUGAAAUGACUAGUUAAUGUAGAUUGAGAGUCCACAUGCCAGUCACAUCUCGUCUCACUUAAAUCUCCCACCAAACUUCUAAAAAAGAUGCAGCCGAGAUCAUGAAACUCAGGAGGACACCAAGUCACACAGCACUCAGUUGUGAUUUGAACCCCCGGGGAUCCCUGACUCCUGAGCCAUCACCCUUGUUCACAUUGAGACUGCCUGUAUCCCUGCCUUUCCACAAAGAAUAUUCAUAACUUGUAGGGCUUAAAAUGCGCGCCCAUGACUUGGAUAUGAAAAAGAAUAACUAUUUUCUAUGACUGGCUUCAUCUGGCUGUGUAACCCCUAUUCCUGUUGUGCCACCCUUGGGUAAAUACCUUGGAGUAGAAUAGCUGGCUCCUCUUGUGGUUGGGUGUUUAGCUGUUUAAGAAACUCUUGAGCUGUUUCCCAAUGUGAUUGUACCUUUUCACAUUCCUACCAGCAGCAUAGGAAAGUUCUGAUCC